UCUGCAACUCUAAGAAACAGAAUGUACUUUAAGUGUGUGUUCUAUUCCUUUGUGGGCCCACUGAAGCUAAGCAGGGCUGUGCCUGGUCAGUACCUGGAUGUGAGACCACAUGGGAAAGCUAGGUUGCUGCCAGAA
rnacentral:rRNA from 1 species